GACGAACCGAGCGAACGUUAUUCGGAAUCACUGGGCUUAAAGGGCGCGUAGGCGGGCGGUCAAGUCCGGGGUGAAAGCCCCCAGCUCAACUGGGGAAGUGCCUCGGAUACUGGUCGCCUCGAGGGAGAUAGGGGCGUGCGGAACUUCCGGUGGAGCGGUGAAAUGCGCAGAUAUCAGGAGGAACACCGAUGGCGAAGGCAGGUCUCUGGGCCACUACUGACGCUGAGAAGCGAAAGCGUGGGGAGCGAACAGG
rnacentral:rRNA from 1 species